UGGGGAAUAUUGGACAAUGGGCGAAAGCCUGAUCCAGCCAUGCCGCGUGUGUGAAGAAGGUCUUCGGAUUGUAAAGCACUUUAAGUUGGGAGGAAGGGCAUUAACCUAAUACGUUAGUGUUUUGACGUUACCGACAGAAUAAGCACCGGCUAACUCUGUGCCAGCAGCCGCGGUAAUACAGAGGGUGCAAGCGUUAAUCGGAAUUACUGGGCGUAAAGCGCGCGUAGGUGGUUUGUUAAGUUGGAUGUGAAAUCCCCGGGCUCAACCUGGGAACUGCAUUCAAAACUGACAAGCUAGAGUAUGGUAGAGGGUGGUGGAAUUUCCUGUGUAGCGGUGAAAUGCGUAGAUAUAGGAAGGAACACCAGUGGCGAAGGCGACCACCUGGACUGAUACUGACACUGAGGUGCGAAAGCGUGGGGAGCAAACAGGAUUAGAUACCCUUGUAGUCCCUGAGCGGGCUGGCAAGGCGCAU
rnacentral:rRNA from 1 species